rnacentral:misc_RNA from 1 species
AAAGGACAUAAAGGUCUUUGCAC